GACCGCGCCGACGUGGGCGCUUCGUCGCUCGCGACGUCGUGAGAAGUUCACUGAACCUUAUCAUUUAGAGGAAGGAGAAGUCGUAACAAGGUUUCCGUAGGUGAACCUGCGGAAGGAUCAUUGUCGAAACCUUGACCAGCAGAAUGACCAGCGAACCAGUUGAGCGAAUUCGAGGGGAUCGUGAGGGGGACCUGGGCACCUCUCUUCCCCAGAAAUAACAACCAAAACCCCGGCGCGAGUCGCGCCAAGGAGAUCCAAUCAGAAGAUUGCCGUCCCAGUCCCUGGAAGGGGGCUAGGGGCCGGCGGCUCUUCGUGUUGAAUGAACGAAAAUGACUCUCGGCAACGGAUAUCUCGGCUCUCGCAUCGAUGAAGAACGUAGCGAAAUGCGAUACUUGGUGUGAAUUGCAGAAUCCCGGGAACCAUCGAGUCUUUGAACGCAAGUUGCGCCCGAAGCCUUUAGGCUGGGGGCACGUCUGCCUGGGUGUCACACACCGUUGCCCCGAGUCAAGCCCCUACUGGGGGAAGUGCCGGGGCAGAUGUUGGUCUCCCGUUAGCCGCGCGCUCGUGGUUGGCCCAAAUUCAUGGUCCUCAGCGGCGGACGCCACGACGAUCGGUGGUUUUGGCCCUCGGACUUUGUCGUGCGCGAACUCGCUGACACGGACCCGAAUGUGCUCCCUGUGAGGGCCGCCCUCGCGACCCCAGGUCAGGCGGGACUACCCGCUGAGUUUAAGCAUAUCAAUAAGCGGAGGAAAAGAAACUUACCAGGAUUCCCC
rnacentral:rRNA from 1 species